GGAGGGAUCAUUACCGAGUUUACAACUCCCAAACCCCUGUGAACAUACCACUUGUUGCCUCGGCGGAUCAGCCCGCUCCCGGUAAAACGGGACGGCCCGCCAGAGGACCCCUAAAACUCUGUUUCUAUAUGUAACUUCUGAGUAAAACCAUAAAUAAAUCAAAACUUUCAACAACGGAUCUCUUGGUUCUGGCAUCGAUGAAGAACGCAGCAAAAUGCGAUAAGUAAUGUGAAUUGCAGAAUUCAGUGAAUCAUCGAAUCUUUGAACGCACAUUGCGCCCGCCAGUAUUCUGGCGGGCAUGCCUGUUCGAGCGUCAUUUCAACCCUCAAGCACAGCUUGGUGUUGGGACUCGCGUUAAUUCGCGUUCCUCAAAUUGAUUGGCGGUCACGUCGAGCUUCCAUAGCGUAGUAGUAAAACCCUCGUUACUGGUAAUCGUCGCGGCCACGCCGUUAAACCCCAACUUCUGAAUGUUGACCUCGGAUCAGGUAGGAAUACCCGCUGAACUUAAGCAUAUCAAUAAGCGGAGGAAAAGAAACCAACAGGGAUUGCCCUAGUAACGGCGAGUGAAGCGGCAACAGCUCAAAUUUGAAAUCUGGCUCUCGGGCCCGAGUUGUAAUUUGUAGAGGAUACUUUUGAUGCGGUGCCUUCCGAGUUCCCUGGAACGGGACGCCAUAGAGGGUGAGAGCCCCGUCUGGUUGGAUGCCAAAUCUCUGUAAAGUUCCUUCAACGAGUCGAGUAGUUUGGGAAUGCUGCUCUAAAUGGGAGGUAUAUGUCUUCUAAAGCUAAAUACCGGCCAGAGACCGAUAGCGCACAAGUAGAGUGAUCGAAAGAUGAAAAGCACUUUGAAAAGAGAGUUAAAAAGUACGUGAAAUUGUUGAAAGGGAAGCGUUUAUGACCAGACUUGGGCUUGGUUAAUCAUCUGGGGUUCUCCCCAGUGCACUUUUCCAGUCCAGGCCAGCAUCAGUUUUCCCCGGGGGAUAAAGACGGCGGGAAUGUGGCUCUCUUCGGGGAGUGUUAUAGCCCACCGUGUAAUACCCUGGGGGGGACUGAGGUUCGCGCAUCUGCAAGGAUGCUGGCGUAAUGGUCAUCAACGACCCGUCUUGAAACACGGACCAAGGAGUCGUCUUCGUAUGCGAGUGUUCGGGUGUCAAACCCCUACGCGUAAUGAAAGUGAACGCAGGUGAGAGCUUCGGCGCAUCAUCGACCGAUCCUGAUGUUCUCGGAUGGAUUUGAGUAAGAGCAUACGGGGCCGGACCCGAAAGAAGGUGAACUAUGCCUGUAUAGGGUGAAGCCAGAGGAAACUCUGGUGGAGGCUCGCAGCGGUUCUGACGUGCAAAUCGAUCGUCAAAUAUGGGCAUGGGGGCGAAAGACUAAUCGAACCUUCUAGUAGCUGGUUUCCGC
rnacentral:misc_RNA from 1 species